GCUUGUCUCAAAGAUUAAGCCAUGCAUGUCUAAGUAUAAACUGCUUAUACUGUGAAACUGCGAAUGGCUCAUUAAAUCAGUUAUAGUUUAUUUGAUGGUACCUCUACUCGGAUAACCGUAGUAAUUCUAGAGCUAAUACGUGCGUAAAUCCCGACUUCUGGAAGGGACGUAUUUAUUAGAUAAAAGGCCAGCCGUCUCACGACGACCUGCGUUGACUCAUGAUAACUUCACGAAUCGCAUGGGCUUGCCCCGGCGAUGAAUCAUUCAAGUUUCUGCCCUAUCAGCUUUCGAUGGUAGUGUAUUGGACUACCAUGGCGGUGACGGGUAACGAAGAAUAAGGGUUCGGUUUCGGAGAGGGAGCCUGAGAGAUGGCUACCACAUCCAAGGAAGGCAGCAGG
rnacentral:rRNA from 1 species